rnacentral:lncRNA from 1 species
ACUGAAAAGAUGGCAUCUUUCGCAAAUUCAUCCCAAUCUAUUAAAUUAUUUAAAUUUUGAUGUAAAAGGUUUAUAGACGGGGUUAACCAUUUGGAUAAUAUGUCCAAAUUCGCUCCUUCUUGAUUGAAAGGAAUUCCUAGGAAUCCAAUGAACAAAGUGAAUAGAACCAAUACAAGUAUAGGAAAUAACAUAGUAUUAUCUGAUUCAUAAGGAUAUGAAAAAAUAUUCUUAUUGCCAAAAUAGGUAAUAGUAAUAAAGGGUUGUGUGAUGUUUCUUACAUUCUGAUCCAUUUGAUAUGUCUUCUUUGAAAAAAAAGAAGCAAUUUCAUGAUUAUUCAUUGUUAAUAAAGUUAAUAAAGGAAAAUUUUUAUUAAUCCUUUUCGAACCUUCUUUACCCCAUAGAGAUAUUGAAUAGAAGGGGGUAUUUUUGUAAUUUUGAAAAUGAACGUUUAAAUGUCCUUCAAAAGUAAGUAAAUAGAUUCGAAACAUAUAAAAUGCGGUUAAUCCCGCUGUAGACCAAGCUAUUAUUGCAAAAAUUGGUGAAUACAACCAAGUAUCAUUAAUAAUUUCAUCCUUGGACCAAAAACAAGCAAGAGGCGGAAUACCACAAAGAGAAAGUGUACCGAAUAAAAAAGACGUUUUGGUAAUUGGCACAUGCUUUGUUAAACCCCCCAUAAAAACCAUAUUCUGGCUUUUCUUUGGAGAAUAUCCAACAAGAGUUUCCAUUGAAUGAAUAACGGAUCCGGAUCCUAAAAACAAUAAUGCUUUCGAAUAAGCAUGAGUAAUCAAAUGAAAUAAAGCACUUCGAUAAGACCCCAUACCUAAAGCUAACAUCAUAUAACCCAAUUGAGACAUUGUGGAAUAGGCCAAACCUCUCUUAAUGUCUUUUUGAGCAAGGGCUAAAGUAGCUCCUAAUAAUACUGUUAUUAUCCCUACCAAAGAGAUUAAAUUCAUUAUGUGAGGGAUGACUAUGAAAAGAGGAAUAAGCCGAGCUACAAGAAAAAUUCCCGCUGCUAACAUAGUAGCAGCAUGUAUAAGAGCUAAAAUAGGAGUAGGCCCCUCCAUGGCAUCAGGUAACCAUACAUGAAAGGGGAAUUGUGCAGAUUUAGCAACCGCACCGGCAAAUAACAGAACGGCACACAAAGUAACAAAUAAAAAAUUCACUUGAUUAUUAUAAAUCAAGUUACUGAAUAUUUUGAAUAAAUCUCAAAAUUCGAAACUACCUGUUAUCCAAUAAAAACCUAAAAUUCCUAAUAAUAAACCAAAAUCCCCAACACGAUUAGUUACAAACGCCUUUUGGCAAGCAUUUGCCGCAACAGGUCGUGUGAACCAAAACCCUAUUAAUAGAUACGAACACGUUCCGACUAAUUCCUAAAAAAUAUAAAUUUGUAUCAAAUUAGAACUAGUAACUAAUCCUAACAUAGAAGUACUGAAAAAACUCAUAUAAGCGAAAAAUCUCAAAUAUCCUUGAUCAUGAGACAUAUAAUUAUCAUUAUAAACAAGAAGCACAAUCCCAACAGUAGUAAUUAAUAUUGACAUAAUAGAAGUAAGUGGGUCGAUCAAGUAGCCGAAUUCUAAAGAAAAAUCAUUAUUGAUGAUCCAAGACCACACAUAUUGAUAGAUAGAACUGCUAUUUAUUUGCUGAAUAGACAGAUUGAUCGAAAAAAUCAUGACUAUACUUAACAAUAAAACACUUUGAAAAGCCCACAUACGACGAAGAUUUUUUGUUGCCGUCGGAAAAAGAAGAAGUCCCACUCCUAUUAACAUAGGAACUGGAAGUGGAAGGAAAGGUAUUCUCCACGCAUAUUGAUAUGUCUGUUCCAUAAAAAAGUUUUUUAUUCUUAAUUAAUUGUUUCCGAUUUACCAGAUCAUACCUCUUUCAAAAGGAGUCAAUAAAAAAAUCAAGAUAUGCACUAACUUAAAGAGAAUUUUCUACUCUUACAUAUUCUGAGUCUUUCGAAAAUACUUCAAAUAUUCAAAUCAAGAAGUUAGAAUUAAUUGGUCAAAUGAGAUGACCCGCCUGUUCGUAAAAAGCGAAUACUUAGUUAUUAACUAAGAUUUUUAUGAAGAUACCGAAAAUAAAAAUUUCAAUUAUUAUUACAUGAAUUUAUAUUCAUAGAGUAAGGAUAAAGAAUUACUCUAAAAAGAGUACUUGAUUCUGCUAUGAAUCAUAGGAUUAACUAAGAUAAAAAACUUGUCCUAAUAAAAUAAGAACUUUUAGUUAGUUUGUUCCAAAUCAUUAACUAGUUCAUUAUGGAAUUGAUUUAUUAUUUUCCAUUUCAAUAAAAAAAAACAUUUAUAGAUUAUAGAAAACGCUAUAAUAUCCGACAUUUUAUAUAAAAUUAACUUGUUAUAUAAAAUUAACUUGAUUUUCUAUUUAUCGAUAUUUAUCGAAAGGGGUAAAAUAAAAUUAAUAAAAAAAUAACUAAGAUCUCUUUUAUCAAACCACGUAUCCUUUAACAGAUUAAUAACUUUAAUUACUAGUCUCAUUCAAAUUUAAAAAUGAAAUUUAGGAGUAUUCUUUCCUCGAAUUUGACCGGUUAGUAGAAAAAGAUUAAAGUUUUCAUUAGGCAAUGGGUUCUUAAACCCCUUGGUAUAUUUUAUUCCUUAUAAAUUAAAAGUAGAACGAAGAAAAUAGACAGAGAUAAAAAGGAAGGUCUUUUUUUGGAUUCUUUCUUUUAUUAAGUUCAACUAAUUAGAUUUCUGUGGCAUAACGGCGGAUUCUAUAGAUAUAAAUGUGAAUCAUAAAGAACAAGAAAUAAAGGUACCAAUCAAUAAAAAUGAGUCUUUCUUACGAAUAUUGUAUAUAUAUAAAAAAACUCUUUUUGUUGAAAAAAUCACAUAUCAUUCUUUUUCUAGUCAUAUUUUAUACGAUUUUCA